UGGUUGCCAAAACAGGAAAAGAUUACUGCCUUCAUAGAGCCUCCAUUCUAAUUCUAUGUCUCCCCCAGCUGAAAUUUUGUGUUACUGGUCUAUGGAGAGAAUUAGUCAAGGGCAAUGUCAUGUUAUCUGAACAGAUGACAAUAAGGGCCCUUAGAUCAUACUCUCUGUACCUUUUCCCAAUGAAGGAAUGAACAAAAGGCCUAUAAUGAGAUAUAUCAUCCAAUUUGGUGAUUUCUGGCAAAGUAGCUGCCGAGCUUGUGGGGCUGCCAAGAAGAAAAGAGAGGAGAAAGAAAAGCAGGAAGAAUUCCUUAGGCAGAGAACGAGAGCAACGGCAGCUGGGACCUCUCAGGACACAAACUGGAGAUUGUCCCAGGCUCAUUCUAAAAGUUUGACCCUCCCAGGCUACCUUAGUUCCUAGUUACUGCCAGAGUGUGUGUUGGUGGAGGGGAGACAAUGCCACACCAGACACACCGCCAGAUAUAAAAAGUCCCUGUCCUCCCAUCUUCAGCAGCUCCUUCCUCAGUCUGGCAGGUGAACCUGAGCAAGGCUACCUUCUUGACAUCUCUGCUUCGUAGGAGUGCUGGAAGGGGACCCAGGCAUCCCAAGCAUGACAGCUGCCUCUUCCCUGCUCCCUACAGUACCUGCUCCUACCUUUCCUGCUCCUUUCCCUCCCCUCCCCUAUGAACCCAGGAGCUGCUUUUCAUCUUCUCUUCAUUUUCCCUUCAGCUCAGGAUGCUGCCUUUUUACAAAACGAAGACCUCUUUCCACCUCCUUCUCAUCCUCCUUCUCCAACUAUGCCUGCAGGGGAUGCCCAGUGCUCCUUACAGUUAGCUGUUAACAAAAGGAUAAGAGUUGCUCUCAGCAAACUGAGUAAUUGAUAUGGGGAUGAGGGUGGAAGUUAUAUCCCUGAUUCUCAAUCCUGUUACUAGACCACAAGCCAUUUCCUAACCCAUCCCCAGAUUCCAACCUCUAACUGGAAGAUGCAUCCUCAACUUGCUGCCCUCUCUAUGCCUUUUGGGACUCUUAGAACCAAUGGCAAUGGCAUUGAAUGCAAUCCCUCAGGCUGCCCAAAACAUCUCUCCUGAACCAACAUCACUAAUGAAAGCAACCUGUCCUCCUGCCCCUCAGGAUGUUACCUCCAUGUCACGUGUUCCAACUUCUGCUUGAAGGGGAGGCCUUAGGGAGAACCAUAAGAACUGAAAUCAGCUUUCCACCCUCACCACCAUCAUCUCAUUCUUCAACAAAUAUAGGGCCACACUGUUCCAGGAUCUGUUUGUUCUCAGCACUAGAGGUACAGAAAAGUAAAACUGUACACAUGCUCUGUGCAUGGUCACCAUCUAUAGCAUUCCCUAAACAUCAAGGCACAUAUGCUUUGUCUUGGCUUGGGAGCAACCUGGAUGAUCUAGUCAUCACUUCUCUGAUCACCAGUCACUACUUUAAAAUAUAGGUUCCAUGAUUAUUUAGGUGUGGCAAGGCCAACAGAUCAGGAAAUGACUGCCAUGGAAAAGAGGAUUAUACUCACAGAUUCCAAGAGAAGGCGGCAUGCCAGAAUCUGGAACCGGAUCCUCUAAUGAUGUCAUAAGACCUGAGCUGUAUUCACCUAGGAAUCAUGUUGUAAAAUACUCAAGAAAGCACAGGCCAAUCCCUGAAUGCAUGGCCCCUCUAGGGAAUCAUGACCCAGGAUCCCAAACCACUGGGAGAAAUCUUCACUCUGCUGACUCUGGCAUGCAGCACAAAUGAACCAUCACCUGCUUCAGACACUAAACAUGCAAUGACAACUCAUCCCCCACCCUUUGUAAUCUGCAAUCAUUUAUCCCAGGCUGACUGGUUCUCAACAUCUCUGGCUGGAAUGCAGUGGAAUGAUUAUAGAUCAAUGCAGCC
rnacentral:lncRNA from 1 species